CCACGCCGGCUCUCGCUUCGUAGCCGUUGGCAGUGGCAGCCGGCACCCAAAAUAUCUUGGCGCAAAAAUAUCUCACCCGCAGCAGCGACGGCACGGGCCGUAAAUAAUAUCUCUCGAGCACGGGCGGGGGCCGCCUGCCUGCACGCGCCUUUCUCACUCGCUCGCUCGGGACGUCGGGUGCAGUCCGUGCGCCCCGCACCGCUUUUCGAUUCGGUUCCGCAGCGGCCGGCCGGCCGGCCGAGCAAUGGCCACCGGCGGGGACAAGCGGGCGGCGCUGCUGCGGCAGAUAACGGAGGAGGGCGGGUUCGCGUUCGUGGCCUCCGCCGAGAAGGCGGCCGCGGGGGACCUCCGCGCCGCCGAGGCGGCGCGGGAGAUGGCGUGGGAGCAGCUGCACUCGGCGCCCCGCGCCGAGGUCGGCGCCGCGUGGCGGGACGCCUACGCGCUCGCCUGCCUCCACGUCGCCGGCCUCCGCGCCGCCGUCGGCGACCGCCGCGCGGCGCUCCGCGCGCUCGACAUGGGCCUCAUCAUGGGCGGCGACCUCCUACGCGCCGAGCUCGACGCCGCCGUCGCGGGGCUCGGCCACGGCGACGCGGGCGCAGGCGCGGGCGCCGAUGGAGAUGUGCAGAGGUGGGAGGAAGGGAUCGCGGGCGGCCGAGACCUCGCCGAUGUACUUCAACUUCUACCAGUGAAUUCCCUAUCUUGUAAGCAAAUUGAGAGGCGAUCAUGCAUUUCUUUGGAGGCAUUUAUACGUGAUUACUUUUUAUGUGAGUCCCCUGUUAUACUCAGUGGAUGCAUUGAUCAUUGGCCUGCAAGGAAAAAGUGGAAGGACAUAAAGUACCUAGAGAGUGUAGCUGGAGAUCGGACUAUUCCUGUUCAGGUUGGAAAAAAUUAUGCAUGUACUGAGUUGAAACAGGAGCUUAUCACAUUUUCUCAAUUUCUUGAGAGGAUGUGGUCAAGUGAUUCUGCAAACUUGGCAUAUAUUGCGCAGCAUCAAUUGUUUGACCAGAUAAAGGAGCUCCACGAAGAUAUUGCUGUUCCUGAGUACUGUUCAGCUGGUGGUGGCAAACUCCAGUCACUUAAUGCUUGGUUCGGCCCUCAUGGGACAAUAACUCCUUUGCAUCAUGACCCACAUCACAACCUUUUUGCUCAGGUUUUGGGAAGGAAGUAUGUUAGACUCUAUCCUGCUUCUACAUCUGUGGGCCUAUACCCUAACACAGAAAGCAUGCUAAGCAAUACUAGUGAGAUUUUCUCCUGGACGCCCUGAUCAACCCUAUCAUUCACGUUCAACUUUUGCUUCGUUACAAUCCAAAUCCAUUCCGUAGCGUGUUGUGAUCCUGAAGCUGCUCUCUGCACCGCCCAAUAAGGUAGACCUCGACAACACUGACGGAAAAGAGUACCCGGAGACUGCAGCUCUUGAGUUCGUGGACUGCGUAUUGGAGGAAGGUGACCUGCUUUACAUUCCCCCGAAAUGGUGGCGUUACGUGAGAUCUCUCUCUAUUAGCUUUUCUGUUAGCUUUCGGUGGCGAACAUCACAGCUUCCUUGAGGGGAGGUUCAUAACGAUGGUUUUGACAAAUUUGAUCGUACGUCCACGAUGUCGUUCCAAUCAUCCUAUUGGUAGAGACUUAAUAAGAAGACUUCAUUGAGCUGAGCCCAUAUUUCGUGGUCUAAGUGUUGUGUGCGGUCGCCUCACUAGACUGGGAUUGUAAAUUGUUUUCACGACAAUGAUUGGUUUCAAACAUACUAAGCGGUACUAUCAGGUACUAGUGUGGCCGUUUUAUAUUGUGAACUGAUUCUGCAGUAUGGCCUAACUGUGUUCACCGAUUGAUAUUUUUUCUUUUCCUUUUCUUUUUCCUGAGUCAAAGGGAGCACGUUCAAAUGUAACUUUGAGGGCGGGCCAGCAUGUGAGAUAAGUGGCCGUCACGACGCCGGAUAACGGAGACGGCGUCUUUGCCGAGUGUUCUAAGUGACAUUCGGCAAACAAUUAACUUUGCCACAGCCCGCACUCGGCAAAGGGUCUACCAGCGGGGCCCUUUGUCAGCUUCUUUGUCGAGUGCUAUAGGAGGCAAUCGGCAAAGCUUGAACACAGCUUCCUUGAGAGGGGAAGUUCAUAACGAUGGUUUUGACAAAUUUGAUCGUACGUCCACGAUGUUCCAAUCAUCCCAUUGGUAGAGACUUAAUAAGAAGACUUCAUUGAGCUGAGCCCAUGUUUUGUGGUCACUAGACUGGGAUUGUAAAUUGUUUUCACGACAAUGAUUGGUUUCAAACAUACUAAGCGGUACUAUCAGGUACUAGUGUGGCCGUUUUAUAUUGUGAACUGAUUCUGCAGUAUGGCCUAACUGUGUUCACCGAUUGAUAUUUUUUCUUUUCCUUUUCUUUUUCCUGAGUCAAAGGGAGCACGUUCAAAUGUAACUUUGAGGGCGGGCCAGCAUGUGAGAUAAGUGGCCGUCACGACGCCGGAUAACGGAGACGGCGUCUUUGCCGAGUGUUCUAAGUGACAUUCGGCAAACAAUUAACUUUGCCACAGCCCGCACUCGGCAAAGGGUCUACCAGCGGGGCCCUUUGUCAGCUUCUUUGUCGAGUGCUAUAGGAGGCAAUCGGCAAAGCUUGAACACAGCUUCCUUGAGAGGGGAAGUUCAUAACGAUGGUUUUGACAAAUUUGAUCGUACGUCCACGAUGUUCCAAUCAUCCCAUUGGUAGAGACUUAAUAAGAAGACUUCAUUGAGCUGAGCCCAUGUUUUGUGGUCACUAGACUGGGAUUGUAAAUUGUUUUCACGACAAUGAUUGGUUUCAAACAUACUAAGCGGUACUAUCAGGUACUAGUGUGGCCGUUUUAUAUUGUGAACUGAUUCUGCAGUAUGGCCUAACUGUGUUCACCGAUUGAUAUUUUUUCUUUUCCUUUUCUUUUUCCUGAGUCAAAGGGAGCACGUUCAAAUGUAACUUUGAGGGCGGGCCAGCAUGUGAGAUAAGUGGCCGUCACGACGCCGGAUAACGGAGACGGCGUCUUUGCCGAGUGUUCUAAGUGACAUUCGGCAAACAAUUAACUUUGCCACAGCCCGCACUCGGCAAAGGGUCUACCAGCGGGGCCCUUUGUCAGCUUCUUUGUCGAGUGCUAUAGGAGGCAAUCGGCAAAGCUUGAACACAGCUUCCUUGAGAGGGGAAGUUCAUAACGAUGGUUUUGACAAAUUUGAUCGUACGUCCACGAUGUUCCAAUCAUCCCAUUGGUAGAGACUUAAUAAGAAGACUUCAUUGAGCUGAGCCCAUGUUUUGUGGUCACUAGACUGGGAUUGUAAAUUGUUUUCACGACAAUGAUUGGUUUCAAACAUACUAAGCGGUACUAUCAGGUACUAGUGUGGCCGUUUUAUAUUGUGAACUGAUUC